AAAAUAUUGAAUUUAAUCCAUAUUGAAAUAAGGCUGUAACAUAACAAAAUGUGGAAAAAGUGAAGCGCUGUGAAUACUUUCCGGAUCCACUGUACAUCUAUAGCUAUACUAAGGUGCAGGAAGUAAAGUAUUUUGUGUUGCAGUUCUAUACAGUGUAAUGGUUAUGUGUAAGGUAUUAUCCACAGAUGAGAUCGUUGUCCACUGAUUAGAUAUUAUCCACAGAUGAGAUAGGUAUCAAAAGAUGAGAUAGUUGUCCAGAGAUGAGAAGUACUCACAGAUGAGGUAUUAUCUACAGAUGAGAUAGUUGUCCACAGAUGAGAUAGGUACGCACAGAUGAAAUAUUAUCUACAGAUGAGAUAAUUGUCCACAGAUGAGAUAACUGUCCACAGAUGAGAUAGGUACUAACAGAUUAAAUACUUUCUACAGAUGAGAUAGUUGGCCCCAGAUGAGGUAUUAUCUACAGAUGAGAUAGUUGUCCACAGAUGAGAUAGGUACUCAAAGAUGAGGUAUUAUCUAUAGAUAAGAUAGUUGGCCACAGAUGAGAUAGGUACUCAAAGAUGAGGUAUUAUCUAAAGAUGAGAUAGUUGUCCACAGAUGAGAUAGGUACACUAAGAUGAGGUAUUAUCUAAAGAUGAGAUAGUUGUCCACAGAUGAGAUAAUUGUCCACAGAUGAGGUAUUAUCUACAGAUGAGAUAGUUGUCCACAGAUGAGAUAGGUACCCACAGAUUAAAUAUUAUCUACAGGUGAGAUAGUUAUUCACAUAUGAGAUAGUUGUCCACAGAUUAAAUAUUAUCUACAGAUGAGAUAGUUAUUCACAGAUGAGAUAGUUGUCCACAGAUGAGAUAAUUGUUCACAGAUGAGGUAUUAUCUACAGAUGAGAUAGUUGUCCACAGAUGAGAUAGGUACCCACAGAUUAAAUAUUAUCUACAGAUGAGAUAGUUGUCCACAGAUAUUAUCCACAGAUGAGUUACAGUUGCCGCAUUGUGUCCAGUGCAGAUAAUUCAUAGAUGUUCUAUGCCGUUUAAAAUAAAUGAAGCA
ensembl:lncRNA